rnacentral:rRNA from 1 species
AUUGAACGCUGGCGGCAUGCUUUACACAUGCAAGUCGAGCGGCAGCGCGGGGGCAACCCUGGCGGCGAGCGGCGGACGGGUGAGUAAUGCAUCGGAACGUAUCCCGUAGUGGGGGACAACCCAGCGAAAGCUGGGCUAAUACCGCAUAUGCUCUACGGAGGAAAGUGGGGACCCGCAAGGGCCUCACGCUAUGGGAGCGGCCGAUGUCCGAUUAGCUAGUUGGUGGGGUAAAGGCCCACCAAGGCGACGAUCGGUAGCUGGUCUGAGAGGAUGAUCAGCCACACUGGGACUGAGACACGGCCCAGACUCCUACGGGAGGCAGCAGUGGGGAAUUUUGGACAAUGGGGGCAACCCUGAUCCAGCCAUGCCGCGUGCGGGAAGAAGGCCUCGG